rnacentral:misc_RNA from 1 species
UCUAACCGGUUACGGAGGAGGGCGCCGAAGGUGGGGCUGAUGACUGGGGUGAAGUCGUAACAAGGUAGCCGUACCGGAAGGUGUGGCUGGAUCACCUCCUUUCAAGGAGACCUACCCUACUGACUAUUGCCAAAGAGGUUAAAGAGGUGAAGUGAGUAAGGUCACCUAGGUCGAGCGAGUUAACGGUAUUGGUUUCUAGACUAGGUCGAGGUUAAGGGCUAUUAGCUCAGGUGGUUAGAGCGCACCCCUGAUAAGGGUGAGGUCCCUGGUUCGAGUCCAGGAUGGCCCACUGGAGUGGGGGUAUAGCUCAGUUGGUAGAGCGCCUGCUUUGCAAGCAGGAUGUCAGCGGUUCGAGUCCGCUUACCUCCACCAGAGGGGUGUAAGAGUUCAGCUCUUUGGCGAGGGAGUCAAAGAGCUGGGUUUAGAGCCCAGCGAGAACCUUGAAAACUGCAUAGAGAGAAGAGAGUCAAAGGUAGUUGAAGAACUGCAUAGAUGGUCAAGCUACAAAGGGCUCACGGUG